rnacentral:rRNA from 1 species
UACGAAGGGGGCUAGCGUUGUUCGGAAUUACUGGGCGUAAAGCGCACGUAGGCGGACAUUUAAGUCAGGGGUGAAAUCCCAGAGCUCGACUCUGGAACUGCCUUUGAUACUGGGUGUCUUGAGUAUGGAAGAGGUGAGUGGAAUUCCGAGUGUAGAGGUGAAAUGCGUAGAUAUUCGGAGGAACACCAGUGGCGAAGGCGGCUCACUGGUCAAUUACUGACGCUGAGGUGCGAAAGCGUGGGGAGCGAACAGG